AAACUACUGGUUCCAUACUUCCAUUAACGUGGUCGCUGUUGGCAAGCAUGACAGGAUAUGAACUUUUAACAAAAAUGAGGUAUAGCACCAUGGCUUCUCUGCUUGAUCGAGGAGCAGAAAACCUUCAGGUUACAGAAGCAGGACGAUGCAGAGAUCGAUAGAGCCGUGGGAAGAAUGGAAGAGCCAGAGGACGGGGAUGAGCGCUGUGAAAUGCUUUCUUCGGGACAGGAUACGUUGACUGCACUCAUGAGCUCUCUGCAGCUGUGACUCCCUGCACAAAUUCAAGUCAUCAUUCCAACAGGUAGCACCCAUUGGACUCAGUGGGUUAUUAGUCGGAAAAGGAGGGCAUUAAGCGGGAAGGAGGUGUGUGUCUUAGGGGAGAAGGGAAAAGGAGUUAGGGCGCACAUGAUCAAAGUGCAUUGCUUCCAUGUAAGAAAUUGUCAAACAUGGACUAAAGAUACUCUGUUUUCUUAAAAAGAAAGAGAAAUGAUUAUUUGGAAUCACUGUUGGUAUAGAAGGAAUUAUCG
rnacentral:lncRNA from 1 species